rnacentral:rRNA from 1 species
GACGAACGCUGGCGGCGUGCUUAACACAUGCAAGUCGAACGGAAAGGCCUCUUUCGGGGGGUACUCGAGUGGCGAACGGGUGAGUAACACGUGAGUAACCUGCCCUUGACUUUGGGAUAACUUCAGGAAACUGGGGCUAAUACCGGAUAGGAGCUCCUGCUGCAUGGUGGGGGUUGGAAAGUUUCGGCGGUUGGGGAUGGACUCGCGGCUUAUCAGCUUGUUGGUGGGGUAGUGGCUUACCAAGGCUUUGACGGGUAGCAGGCCUGAGAGGGUGACCGGCCACAUUGGGACUGAGAUACGGCCCAGACUCCUACGGGAGGCAGCAGUGGGGAAUAUUGCACAAGGGGUGGAAGCCUGAUGCAGCAACGCCGGGUGCGGGAUGACGGCCUUCGGGUUGUAAACCGCUUUCGCUCAUGACGAAGCUUUGUGUGACGGUAGUGGGUAAAGAAGCACCGGCUAACUACGUG